AUAUCUCUCCGUACGGGAAGGAUGAGAAGCUUCGACUAAGGUUCGAUUCGAGCGCAGCGAGAACGCGUUGCCGCAGGCAACGACCCGAAGGGCGAAGCGCGCAGCGCUGAGUCAUCCUUCCCCCACCAC
rnacentral:sRNA from 1 species